CCUUGAGCCGCGGGUGACGGUGGCUCUCGCUGCUCGCGCCCCCUCCUCCCGCGGGGGGAGCCUGAUGCCACAUUCCCUAUGAAUUAUUUAUCGCCGGCCUAAAAAUACCCCGAACUUCACAGCCCGAGUGACCCUCCAGUGGACAUGGGUGGGGCCCUGUUGCUCACCUUGCUCUUCGGUGCCUGGGCAGGGCCGGUUCUGGGGCAGGGCGAGCAGGGCAUGACGGUGGCCGUGGUGUUUGGCAGCUCAGGGCCGCCCCAGGCCCAGGUCCGUGCCCGCCUCACCCCCCAGAGCUUCCUGGACCUGCCCCUGGAGAUCCAGCCGCUCACAGUGGGGGUCAACACCACCAACCCCAGCAGCCUCCUCACCCAGAUCUGCGGCCUCCUGGGUGCUGCCCGCGUCCAUGGCAUUGUCUUUGAGGACAACGUGGGCACCGAGGCGGUGGCCCAGAUCCUUGACUUCAUCUCCUCCCAGACCCAUGUGCCCAUCCUCAGCAUCAGCGGAGGCUCUGCUGUGGUCCUCACCCCCAAGGUGCAUGUCCAAACUCAUGUCCCCUCGUGCCUCAGGCCUGGAGCCAGGCUGGGGUGGGGGGUGCUUCGGUUCUGGGAAGCUGGGAUUAGACGGGAUGGGCAGGGAGGUGGGGGCUGAGGGCGUGAUGUGGGUGAUGGGGAGAUGGUUAUGGGAAUGACAUCCCAUGUUCUAGAGGAGAGCUAUUCUGGGCUGCCCUCACAUUGUGUCUGGAUGAGGGGUGGGCAGGGUGCAGGCCCACCUCUGGCUGUGGGGCUCAGGCCCCAGCCCUCCUCCUCUCUGCUUCCCUCAGCUUCCUAGGUCAGGGUGAAGACCCAGAGGGCCAGCCGGGCAUGGAGGUGGUGCCAUGCCCUCUGGGCAGUGGUAGUUGACCUGUAGGGUGAGCACUCCAGGGAACCCUGGGAGCCCUGGGGGAGGCAGAAACGGCCCUGCCCUUGCAGGGCUGGGGGAGAACGUUUGAAACACACAUUCAUCAGCAGUUACAACUGGGACAAGCGUUCUGAAGGAAAGACACAGGAUGCUGUAAGGGAGCCCAUGCAUGGCUCAUGCAUAGGGUGUUGGCCAGAGAAAGUCUCUGGAGAAAUGAUGUCUAGGCUGCAGGCCUAAGGGCGAGCUGGUGGGGAGGGGGAGAGGCCCAGGCAGAGAGGAGCAGGUGGGAUGAAGGUCACAAGGCGGGGAAGGAGCUCAGAGCUUUGGAGGAAUAGAGGGAAAAGCCUGGAGAAGGAGGCAGGGGCCUGGCCACCUGGGAAGACAUUUGGGCUUUUCCCUAAGCAAGUGGGCAGCCAGGGCAGCGCAAGCCGGCUGUGACAGUGGCCGUGGUCUGUGCCUGCCUUAGCCCUAUGAGCUUCCUGGACCUGCCCCUGGUGAUCUAGCCACUCAGGGAAGAGUGGAGGAGAGUCGAGGGAAGAGACUGAUCUGAUUUGCCUUUGUUUCAUUAAUUUUUAUAUGAAGAAUUUUGAGUACACAUUAAAAAGUAUAAAGAAGGCUCAUAUAUCCCCCAUUCGCCGAGGCCAUCCACCCCAGCCUCACCAGGACCCCCUUCCCCUUCUGUGUUAAUUUGAAGCAAAGCCCAGGCAUCCUCUUAUUCCAUCCAUAAAUAUUUCAGUAUGGAUCCCUGGCAGAUAAGGGCUUAAGAAAGUAAAACCACCAUACAUUAUCACGUCUAAAAAAUAAUAAAAAUUCCUUCAAAUAUUCAGGCAGUGUUCAAAUUUCCCCAUUGUCUCAUAACUGUCAUAAAUGUUUAUUUUGCAGCCUGUUUGCUCAAAUCAAGAGCCAAAUCAGGUCCACACGUGCCGGUUGGUUGGUGUGGUUUCUAAGUUUCUCUCAACCUCUGGGCCCCUCCUCUGUCUCUCCCUCUUUUUUCCUUGCAAUUUGUUUGUUGAAGAAACUGCGUUGCUUGGCCUCUGAAUUUUCCCUUGCUUUUUUAAAAGACUGGGACAGUGGCAGCAGUGAGACCAGUUAGGAGGGGACUGCGCUGGCUUUUGUGGUGGCAGAGGGGUGGAGAGGAGGAGCUUUCCCACCCUCAGGGCUUCAACCAGGAUGGUGUUUCCCAGUCCUCUUGGGGCCCCGGCAUAAGAUCUCAGGACAUUGGCUCUCAACCCUCAUCGUGCUCUUAGGAAAUACAGACGCCUGGCUUUGCACCUCUGGAAUUCAGAUUCAGUUGGUCUGGGGCAGCGCUUCUCAGUCUAGCGGGCUCAAGGAUCGGCUGAAGAGCUUGUUAGAAUACAGAUGCCAGGCGCCAUACCCAGCGACUCCGAUCCAGUCGGUGUGGGGUGCGACCUGAGAAUCUGCAUUUCUGACAAACUCCCCAGUGGUGCGGAUGCUGCGGGUCUGCAGGCCAGCGGGUCUGCGGGCCAGCGUGGUGGGCUGGGGACCGGGCAUGACCAUGCUAAUAGGCAGCGGAGAACCACGUUGGGGCGGGAGGGAGGCGCAGGCCAGAGGGCUCCCGGAAUGCGGAGCAUCCACCGGCGCAAGGGCGCCUGGAAGCUGAUGGAGGGGCCGAGGUCGGGGAAGGGGCGCGAGGAGGUGCUCUGCCCUCCCCGCCCCGGCUCAGGCCCCGCCCCGCCCCCAGGAGCCGGGCUCCGCCUUCCUGCAGCUGGGCGUGUCCCUGGAGCAGCAGCUGCAGGUGCUGUUCAAGGUGCUGGAAGAGUACGACUGGAGCGCCUUCGCCGUCAUCACCAGCCUGCACCCGGGCCACGCGCUCUUCCUGGAGGGCGUGCGCGCCGUCGCCGACGCCAGCCACGUGAGCUGGCGGCUGCUGGACGUGGUCACGCUGGAGCUGGGCCCGGGAGGGCCGCGCGCGCGCACCCAGCGCCUGCUGCGCCAGCUCGACGCGCCCGUGUUUGUGGCCUAUUGCUCGCGCGAGGAGGCCGAAGUGCUCUUCGCCGAGGCGGCGCAGGCCGGCCUGGUGGGGCCCGGCCACGUGUGGCUGGUGCCCAACCUGGCGCUGGGCAGCACCGAUGCGCCCCCCGCCACCUUCCCCGUGGGCCUUAUCAGCGUCGUCACCGAAAGCUGGCGCCUCAGCCUGCGCCAGAAGCUCCGCGACGGCGUGGCCAUUCUGGCCCUGGGCGCCCACAGCUACUGGCGCCAGUAUGGAACCCUGCCAGCCCCGGCCGGGGACUGCCGUGCUCACCCUGGGCCCGUCAGCCCUGCCCGGGAGGCCUUCUACAGGUGGGCACCUGCCCGGGGCAUAGGGGUAAGGAGGUGGGGAGCGCUUCAGGGGAGCUGGGUGGCAGUGAGCUUGGGCUGGCCAGCCACACCUCUCACUAGCUGCAUGCCUGGGGCCACAUUACCCCACCUGUCUGGGCCUUAGUGUCCUCAUCUGAACAAACAGCAGGUGUCAGGGUGUGGCAAGGAUCGUGGGGCCAAUAUAGGGAAGCACUUUGAACAAUAAACACAAUCAAUGCCACCUGCUGUCAGUGGCAGCGGUGAGGCAGAGGCAGGGGGUGCUUGGUCCUUGGCAGGGCUGCAGGCAUCUCUCCCCUCUGGCAGGCACCUACUGAAUGUCACCUGGGAAGGCCGAGACUUCUCCUUCAGCCCUGGUGGGUACCUGGUCCAGCCUACCAUGGUGGUGAUCGCCCUCAACCGGCACCGCCUGUGGGAGAUGGUGAGAAGGGGGUGAGCCCAGGGGCCCUCAGUGUCCUCUUAUUUUGUCCCUGCCUCCUCUCGUGCCCACAGCUGAGCAGAGAGUCCCUCUGUCCCUUAUCCAACCCCUCAUCUUCCAGGUCUCAGCUGAAACAAACAUCUCCUCCAUUGGGAAGCCUCCAGGUGCCCCGGGGUGGGUGAGGUGCCCUGCUCUGGGCUCCCAUAACACCCCGGCUUCCCUCUACUAUAGAACAUUUCAAGUGCUCCUAUCUCCUGGUCCUGCCCCUGCAGGAGUAACCCAUGACCAUGCUGGCCAGACAGGCUUGUAAACAAUAUGCAGAGACCAGUGCUUGAGUAGACGUGUGCAAAAGAUUGUGGGAUUGGAGAUGAGGAACAGGAAUUAGUUCUGCCUUCAAGGGAAGAAACUGGGGAAGAGGUCACAGAAGAUGGGAUAUUUGAGCUGGGCUGUGGAGGUUUGAGUAGGAGCCCACCAGGAAGAGGUGCUAGCCUGGAAGAGACAGAGGGGCAGAAGAGUUUGGAGCAUGAAGGGCCUUGAGUGCUCAGCUAAGGACUUUCUGUCAAAGUCAGGGGGGACCAGUACAGUGAGCAAGACAGGGUCAGGUCUGGGCUUUAGGAAGAUGCUGUGGGUCAGUGUGGAGCUGUAUGAACACAGGGACCCACGGCUGGGGGAGGCUGUCAGGAGCAGCCCUACUCUGACCUGCCCUAGCAUCCCUAGGUGAGAGAGGGAGAUUCUUGGCCCUGGCAGGCUCCACCCAGAGGGUGGGGGCUGUAGGGCUGGAGGCCCCAGGCUGAGGCUGUCACCCUCCACAGGUGGGGCGCUGGGAGCAUGGCAUCCUAUACAUGAAGUACCCCGUGUGGCCUCGCUACAGUGCCUCUCUGCAGCCUGUGGUGGACAGUCGGCACCUGACGGUGGCCACGCUGGAAGAGCGGCCCUUUGUCAUCGUGGAGAGCCCUGACCCUGGCACAGGAGGCUGUGUCCCCAACACCGUGCCCUGCCGCAGGCAGAGCAACCACACCUUCAGCAGCGGGGACGUGGCCCCCUACACCAAGCUCUGCUGUAAGGGAUUCUGCAUCGACAUCCUCAAGAAGCUGGCCAGGGUGGUCAAAUUCUCCUACGACCUGUAUCUGGUGACCAACGGCAAGCAUGGCAAGCGGGUGCGCGGCGUAUGGAACGGCAUGAUCGGGGAGGUGUACUACAAGCGGGCAGACAUGGCCAUCGGCUCCCUCACCAUCAAUGAGGAGCGCUCCGAGAUCGUAGACUUCUCCGUGCCCUUCGUGGAGACGGGCAUCAGUGUGAUGGUGGCUCGCAGCAAUGGCACUGUCUCCCCCUCGGCCUUCUUGGAGCCAUACAGCCCUGCGGUGUGGGUGAUGAUGUUUGUCAUGUGCCUCACUGUGGUGGCCAUCACUGUCUUCAUGUUCGAGUACUUCAGCCCCGUCAGCUACAACCAGAACCUCACCAGAGGCAAGAAAUCCGGGGGCCCAUCUUUCACUAUCGGCAAGUCCGUGUGGCUGCUGUGGGCGCUGGUCUUCAACAACUCAGUGCCCAUUGAGAACCCGCGGGGCACCACCAGCAAGAUCAUGGUUCUGGUCUGGGCCUUCUUUGCUGUCAUCUUCCUCGCCAGUUACACGGCCAACCUAGCCGCCUUCAUGAUCCAAGAGCAAUACAUCGACACUGUGUCGGGCCUCAGUGACAAGAAGGUUGUGGGGCCAUGGCUGGUGGGGGUGGGGGGACACUGAGGGUGGGGACAGGAUGUGAGUGGGCAGACCCAGGACAGUCAGAGGCUGGGGAAUUUGACCUGGAGGCUGGGGCAGGAAGCAGCUUCAGGGCCUGCUGAGGAGGGGCUGGGGGCUGGGGCAAGAGAUGGCUCAGGGCCACCGACUGACAGGCCUUGGGUAAGUCUCUCCCUGUCUUGGGCCUCAGAGUCUCCAUUUGGAAAACACAGGAGUGGCCUGGACAGCCUCUAAGACCUUCUGCUCUGACUAUGCAAGUCCACACUGGGGCUGGGCUCUGGGGUGGGUUUGGGGUUUUGGUGCCUGGAAGGCUGGAGGAAGGGUUGUGACUGGCUGCUGCCCUCCGCCUGCAGUUUCAGCGGCCUCAAGAUCAGUACCCACCUUUCCGCUUUGGCACGGUGCCCAACGGCAGCACGGAGCGGAACAUCCGCAGUAACUACCGUGACAUGCACACCCACAUGGUCAAGUUCAACCAGCGCUCGGUGGAGGACGCGCUCACCAGCCUCAAGAUGGGGAAGCUGGAUGCCUUCAUCUAUGAUGCUGCUGUCCUCAACUACAUGGCAGGCAAGGACGAGGGCUGCAAGCUGGUCACCAUUGGGUCUGGCAAGGUCUUUGCCACCACUGGCUACGGCAUCGCCAUGCAGAAGGACUCCCACUGGAAGCGGGCCAUAGACCUGGCGCUCUUGCAGUUCCUGGGGGACGGAGAGACACAGAAACUGGAGACAGUGUGGCUCUCGGGGAUCUGCCAGAAUGAGAAGAACGAGGUGAUGAGCAGCAAGCUGGACAUCGACAACAUGGCAGGCGUCUUCUACAUGCUGCUGGUGGCCAUGGGGCUGGCCCUGCUGGUCUUCGCCUGGGAGCACCUGGUCUACUGGAAGCUGCGCCACUCGGUGCCCAACACAUCCCAGCUGGACUUCCUGCUGGCUUUCAGCAGGGGCAUCUACAGCUGCUUCAGCGGGGUGCAGAGCCUCGCCAGCCCACCGCGGCAGCCCAGCCCGGACCUCACGGCCAGCUCGGCCCAGGCCAGCGUGCUCAAGAUGCUGCAGGCGGCCCGCGACAUGGUGACCACGGCGGGCGUAAGCAGCUCCCUGGACCGCGCCACUCGCACCAUCGAGAAUUGGGGUG
rnacentral:sRNA from 1 species